rnacentral:rRNA from 1 species
GACAGAGGGUGCAAACGUUGCUCGGAAUUACUGGGCGUAAAGCGCGUGUAGGUGGAUUGGUGUGUCAGAUGUGAAAUCCCUGGGCUCAACCCAGGAACUGCACCUGAAACUACCAGUCUUGAGUGGUGGAGAGGGAAGUGGAAUUCCUGGUGUAGAGGUGAAAUUCGUAGAUAUCAGGAGGAACACCGGUGGCGAAGGCGGCGUUCUAGACUGCAACUGACACUGAUGAACGAAAGCCAGGGGAGCAAACGGG